rnacentral:rRNA from 1 species
AGAGGGGGAUAACCCGGCGAAAGUCGGACUAAUACCGCAUGAAGCAGGGAUCCCGCAUGGGAAUAUUUGCUAAAGAUUCAUCGCUGAUAGAUAGGCAUGCGUUCCAUUAGGCAGUUGGCGGGGUAACGGCCCACCAAACCGACGAUGGAUAGGGGUUCUGAGAGGAAGGUCCCCCACAUUGGUACUGAGACACGGACCAAACUCCUACGGGAGGCAGCAGUGAGGAAUAUUGGUCAAUGGGCGUAAGCCUGAACCAGCCAAGUCGCGUGAGGGAUGAAGGUUCUAUGGAUCGUAAACCUCUUUUAUAAGGGAAUAAAGUGCGGGACGUGUCCCGUUUUGUAUGUACCUUAUGAAUAAGGAUCGGCUAACUCCGUGCCAGCAGCCGCGGUAAUACGGAGGAUCCGAGCGUUAUCCGGAUUUAUUGGGUUUAAAGGGUGCGUAGGCGGCCUUUUAAGUCAGCGGUGAAAGUCUGUGGCUCAACCAUAGAAUUGCCGUUGAAACUGGGGGGCUUGAGUAUGUUUGAGGCAGGCGGAAUGCGUGGUGUAGCGGUGAAAUGCUUAGAUAUCACGCAGAACCCCGAUUGCGAAGGCAGCCUGCCAAGCCAUGACUGACGCUGAUGCACGAAAGCGKGGGGAUCAAACAGGAUUAGAUACCCUGGUAGUCCACGCAGUAAACGAUGAUCACUAGCUGUUUGCGAUACACUGUAAGCGGCACAGCGAAAGCGUUAAGUGAUCCACCUGGGGAGUACGCCGGCAACGGUGAAACUCAAAGGAAUUGACGGGGGCCCGCACAAGCGGAGGAACAUGUGGUUUAAUUCGAUGAUACGCGAGGAACCUUACCCGGGUUUGAACGCAUUCGGACCGAGGUGGAAACACCUUUUCUAGCAAUAGCCGUUUGCGAGGUGCUGCAUGGUUGUCGUCAGCUCGUGCCGUGAGGUGUCGGCUUAAGUGCCAUAACGAGCGCAACCCUUGCCACUAGUUACUAACAGGUGAUGCUGAGGACUCUGGUGGGACUGCCAGCGUAAGCUGCGAGGAAGGCGGGGAUGACGUCAAAUCAGCACGGCCCUUACAUCCGGGGCGACACACGUGUUACAAUGGCGUGGACAAAGGGAGGCCACCUGGCGACAGGGAGCGAAUCCCCAAACCACGUCUCAGUUCGGAUCGGAGUCUGCAACCCGACUCCGUGAAGCUGGAUUCGCUAGUAAUCGCGCAUCAGCCAUGGCGCGGUGAAUACGUUCCCGGGCCUUGUACACACCGCCCGUCAAGCCAUGGGAGCCGGGGGUACCUGAAGUCCGUAACCGAAAGGAUCGGCCUAGGGUAAAACUGGUGACUGGGGCUAAGUCGUAACAAGGUAGCCGUACCGGAAGGUGCGGCUG